rnacentral:misc_RNA from 1 species
CUCGAUUUCUCUGGGAUCCCAUCAUCAGUGCCUAGUUUCUCUAUCAUGGUAUCAAACUACCGAUAUCCCCUUUCCAACAAAAAAAGAAUUAUCAAAAUCGGUACACCCAAUAAAAAUUAUGCGGUAUAAUACAACGUAGGUCGACGAAAAAAGCGGCAAGUAAAAACGCAUUAUUAGAUAUAACUCGAAAAGUAGUUGUUAGAUCUCAAAUAAAUUUAAAUGGGACCAAUUGGCACACACUACCUUUCGAUUAAAAAAAAAAUUUGUCGAAAUCGGUCCACACGGUCAAAAGUUCUGAUAUAACAUACAUUA